GAAGACCCCAAAUGACAUAGAAGGUCUUGGAGAAGAGUCCAACAGAGACAUAUAUUCACAGACACGUGUACAUCUUUAUGCCCACACAGAAGGGUAACAGCAGCCUUGCUUCAGAGGCCACACCUUCCAGGAAACCCUUCAGCCUGCCGUGUCUUAGCUGAUCCCUCUGCCAUCCCCUUGCAGAAGGAGCUUGGAGUCUCUCAGCUCAGCUGGACUAGAUGAAUCUUCUCAGGGUCGUCUUCUCCCACCUCUGGCUCCCAGUUCCUUCCCCCA
rnacentral:lncRNA from 1 species